UAGACAUGAUGGUGAAUGCCGGCUUAUUCUGAAAAAGAAAAACUAGAUCUAAGAAAAUCUGACAUGCUGUUGGUUUGUAAACGUGUCUAAAUCUCCAAAACAAGCGUUAACGAUGAUCACAAUAAUUACAAGCACUGAUUUGUGAGAACAAACCUUUUCAGUAAUCGUCUCAAGGAUAAAAACAUGUAGACUUUGCAUCUCAAAUUUGCAGCCGAAUAUUUAAAAGUUGGUUAAGGCUAGAACUAAAAUUCUAAUGAAUUAAUGAUAACUAAUGAGCUGUAGAUGACAGGAAGUGAAGAAUGGCAAGGAAAUCGAAGAAAAGUUUCAUUAAAUACACCUAGGAGUCGAUUCAAUGAAGAAAAGAGCAAAAGAAACGGUUCUCUGAACUGGAUUAUCAGAAAGAAUUAGGAAAAUACGAAAUGUUACAUUUGUCAGUAAAAUAAACCAAUUAAUCAUUUUUGUCAUUAGGUCUGGCAAUAUCAGCUGCAGUGCUGACGAAGAAUGAAGACAGAGAAAGAUGGGACGUUGCAAACAUAGAUUCAAUACAUCACACAUGGAUGGCCGAACAAACAUUGAUUCAAUACAUCACACAUGGAUGGCCGAACAAACAUAGAUUCAAUACAUCACAAAUGGAUG